AUCCAGUUGACGAGUCCGAACUAGGACGAAAUACGCAUCUAGGAU
rnacentral:hammerhead_ribozyme from 1 species